rnacentral:rRNA from 1 species
UAAGACGGAGGGUGCUAGCGUUGUUCGGAAUUACUGGGCGUAAAGGGCGCGUAGGCGGCUCUUGAAGUCGGAUGUGAAAGCCCGGGGCUCAACCUCGGAACGGCAUCCGAUACUCUUGGGCUUGAGACCGGAAGAGGUGAGUGGAAUACCCAGUGUAGAGGUGAAAUUCGUAGAUAUUGGGUGGAACACCGGUGGCGAAAGCGGCUCACUGGUCCGGUUCUGACGCUGAGGCGCGAAAGCGUGGGGAGCAAACAGGAUUAGAUACCCUGGUAGUCCACGCCCUAAACGAUGUGUGCUGGGCGUUGGGGGGCUUGCCCCCCGGUGCCGGAGCUAACGCGGUAAGCACACCGCCUGGGGAGUACGGCCGCAAGGUUA